AGCUCAUCCUGUCUCGCGUUGCAGGGGGAAACUUUCUCUUUCCCUCUGGAACCACAAACCAGGCCACCGUGCUCCCAUUCCUCCCCCUCUGUCAGGCUCUCUCUCUCUCACUGUCUCUCUCUCUCAUUCUUUCUUGCAAAAGGCUGCAUUUCUCUACAGAUAAUAACAAUUUUAAUAAUGUACUUUAACAGAAGUUUUGAAUCCCCUGAGAGAGAACCCGGACUAGACUGGAGAUCAAUAAUUGAAAGCACACGUACAACACCAGCAGGCAUCUUAAAUAUCCACACCCAGUCGUCUCUCAGUCCGCGUCUUUGAGAGGACACAAAGUGAACACGUCCCUCUUUAUGUACAAGAAAGAAUCUCUGCUCCUCACUUUAAUGGUACAAAUGAAUGACGGGUGGCGUAAGUGUGUACGUACGCGUGUUUAUUAUCACGUGCAGACCGCAGGAUGCACACUGGGCUCAUUAAUGCAGCUCUUCAACAAUAAGCAGACCGUGCAAUGGCGGCUGCCAAUGCUAAUCGUCUCAGCUAGCCCGCCUCCCUCCAGCACCUUUGCCUGUAUAUGUGUGCCCCCCCCCCCCUCCGUUACACCCCACACUGGGACACUGAAGAGCUGUCGGCACACAGUUCCUGAUGGGAAAUGGAGGCACCGUAGUGGGAUUUUUGAGGAAUAGUUGUUUUUUUUCCAUCACAUUUAGAUCAAAUUUAUUUAAUGGUGGCUCCAGGAUGGGUUUUGCUAAAAGCAACAAUAUUUUAUAAUAAAUAUUAUAUUAUUAUUUGAGAACGGACAUAUCAUAUAAAAACUGAGUUAAUGGUAUAAUCAUGUCAGAGUUGGUCAGUGACAUUAAAGAUAUUACAGAGAUUGAUCUAAAAACAGUAAUGAGAGCAUCUCAUGAUAGCAUUUUGAAUUGAUCUCUUAAAUUAGGAGAAAAUGCUGAGUAACUUCUGCCAACGAUUGCAUCAGUUGGAGCCAACUGCCAAAUAAUUAUUGCAAAUCAUUUCAAAUUUGAGCCUUGUGGCUCAAAUUUGCCUUGCAGCCUUUACAAUCAUUUUUGUAAAGCCCUUUUAAUAAACGCACAACAUCUAAAAACAACUCAAAUGUGCCGCAGAGGUCAGGAGUUCGAGUGCUGUUCGGAGUAAUAGUUGUGAGGGAGAUCUCAGGCACAAUGAGACGAAGCGACCGAGAGAGAAAACACAAUGAGGAAAAAAUUGAGAGAUGGAGAAUAAUGGAAAGCAUGCGAGAGAAAACAAGAGAACGAGGAACAAAGAGAGAUGUGAGUCCGAAAAAAACGUGUCAAUGCCAGGCUUCCUUUAGGCAUGAGUGAGAGACUAUGAGGCCUGGUGGUGUGUGAAUGGUUUCGGCAACACACACACACACAUACACACACACACACACACACACACACACAAUCACUCACACAUUCACUCCCCC
ensembl:lncRNA